GACAAACGCUGGCGGCGUGCUUAACACAUGCAAGUCGAACGGUAAGGCCCUUCGGGGUACACGAGUGGCGAACGGGUGAGUAACACGUGGGUGAUCUGCCCUGCACUUCGGGAUAAGCCUGGGAAACUGGGUCUAAUACCGGAUAGGACCACUGCCUGCAUGGGUGGUGGUGGAAAGCUUUUGCGGUGCGGGAUGGGCCCGCGGCCUAUCAGCUUGUUGGUGGGGUGAUGGCCUACCAAGGCGACGACGGGUAGCCGGCCUGCGAGGGGGACCGGCCACACUGGGACUGAGAUACGGCCCAGACUCCUACGGGAGGCAGCAGUGGGGAAUAUUGCACAAUGGGCGCAAGCCUGAUGCAGCGACGCCGCGUGAGGGAUGACGGCCUUCGGGUUGUAAACCUCUUUCAGCACCGACGAAGCGCAAGUGACGGUAGGUGCAGAAGAAGGACCGGCCAACUACGUGCCAGCCGCCGCCGUAA
rnacentral:rRNA from 1 species